rnacentral:misc_RNA from 1 species
GAAAUGCGAUAAGUAGUGUGAAUUGCAGAAUUCAGUGAAUCAUCGAAUCUUUGAACGCACAUUGCGCCCUUUGGUAUUCCUUAGGGCAUGCCUGUUCGAGCGUCAUUUAAACCUUCAAGCUCAGCUUGGUGUUGGGUGACUGUCCGCUGCCCUCGGGUGCGGACUCGCCUCAAAAUCAUUGGCGGCCGGUACAUUGGCUUCGAGCGCAGCAGAAACGCGAACUCGAGGACGCUGUAUUGGCUCCCAGAAGCUAUCUUCACAAUUUUGACCUCGGAUCAGGUAGGGAUACCCGCUGAACUUAA